CCUACGGGAGGCAGCAGUGAGGAAUAUUGGUCAAUGGGCGCGAGCCUGAACCAGCCAAGUAGCGUGAAGGAUGACUGCCCUACGGGUUGAAAACUUAUUUGAUAAAGGAAUAAAGGGAGGCACGUGUGCCUUGUUGUAUGGACUUUAUGAAUAAGGAUCGGCUAACGCGGUGCCAGCAGCCGCGGUAAUACGGAGGAUCCGAGCGUUCUGCGGAUUUAUGGGGUUGAACGGGAGCGGAAAGGGGUUGUUCAGUCAGGUGGGAAAGUUGGCGGCUCCCCCGUCAAAUUGCAAUUGAUACUGGCAUUCUUGAGUACCGUUGAGGUAGUCGGAAUUCCUGGUGUAGCGGU
rnacentral:rRNA from 1 species